rnacentral:rRNA from 1 species
UUAGUAACUGCGAGUGAAGAGGGAAAAGCUCAAAUUUAAAAUCUGGCAGCAUUUUGCUGUCCGAGUUGUAACCUAGAGAAGUGUAACCUGUGCUGGACCGUGUAUAAGUUUCCUGGAAUGGAGCAUCACAGAGGGUGAGAAUCCCGUCUUUGACAUGGACUACCAGUGCAUUGUGGUUGUGCUCUCAACGAGUCGAGUUGUUUGGGAAUGCAGCUCUAAAUGGGUGGUAAAUUCCAUCUAAAGCUAAAUAUUGGCGAGAGACCGAUAGCGAACAAGUACCGUGAGGGAAAGAUGAAAAGAACUUUGGAAAGAGAGUUAAACAGUAUGUGAAAUUGUUGAAAGGGAAACGUUUGAAGUCAGUCGCGUUAGCUGGGGAUCAGCCUGACAUUGUUGGGUGCACUUCCUGGUUGACGGGCCAACAUCAGUUUUGACUGCCAGAAAAAGGCCAAGGGAAUGUGGCACCUUUGGGUGUGUUAUAGCCUUUGGUCAUAUAUGGUGGYUGGGACUGAGGAACGCAGUGUGCCGAAAGGCCGGGUUUCGACCACGUUCACACUGAGGAUGUUGGCAUAAUGGCUUUAAGCGACCCGUCUUGAAACACGGACCAAGGAGUCUAACAUGCAUGCGAGUGUUUGGGUGGAAAACCCUUACGCGUAAUGAAAGUGAAAGUUGAGAUCCCUGUCGUGGGGAGCAUCGACGCCCGGACCAGAACUUUUGGGACGGAUCUGCGGUAGAGCACGUAUGUUGGGACCCGAAAGAUGGUGAACUAUGCCUGAAUAGGGUGAAGCCAGAGGAAACUCUGGUGGAGGCUCGUAGCGAUUCUGACGUGCAAAUCGAUCGUCAAAUUUGGGUAUAGGGGCGAAAGACUAAUCG